rnacentral:rRNA from 1 species
UACCAGCCCCCCGAGUGGUCGGGACGUUUAUUGGGCCUAAAGCAUCCGUAGCCGGUUCUACAAGUCUUCCGUUAAAUCCACCUGCUUAACAGAUGGGCUGCGGAAGAUACUAUGGAGCUAGGAGGCGGGAGAGGCAAGCGGUACUCGAUGGGUAGGGGUAAAAUCCGUUGAUCCAUUGAAGACCACCAGUGGCGAAGGCGGCUUGCCAGAACGCGCUCGACGGUGAGGGAUGAAAGCUGGGGGAGCAAACCGG